GUGACCCGACGACGUGAUUGACUGGAGAUUGUCAAAUAGAUGGACGUUUGUUUCUGAUGCCAAAACCAGAGAGGCCUCUCUAUACAAAGGGGACACGAAUAUCCAGCACCCCUACCUGACCGAACUUGGGACUGAGUGAUAUUGAGAAUCUACAGGCGUAAAUGGAAAGAGCCUCGCUGGUCUGCUCAAAUUAAGUAAUGUCCAGCGGACCCACAGUCCAGAUAAUUAAACGACACCAGAGUGGACCUUGCUUUGCAGGUCCAAGAGAGGGAGUAUACCACAGGAGAUACAGGAGGGACUGAGGGUACGAGAAAAGGAGGUGACACACAAACACAUACACACAGAAAAAUUUUCAUCCAUCACAAAGUAACCUACAAACUUUGCAGGUGGACCACAAAACUAGGGACUUAUUCACAGCCCUAAACGAGAAGCUGUAGCCCAUUGUGUCAGUGCAGACUGUGUAUUUGGAGCGGGCAUAGCGAAAAAUUCCAUGAAAGAUAUGGGGUUGACAAGGUAAAGCCCCAGAGAAAAACGAAAGGUGACUGUGCUAUAACUCACGAGGCAGACAGAAUAGUUUUCCACCUGAUCACAAAAACACUUGCUAGAGACCUACCCACAUAUGAGGACUUUGAGAGCAGUCUAAUCUGCAUGAGAACGUGGUGUGACAAAUUACACAUCACCAGAUUAUCCAUAGGGGUGUGGUUUAGACAAGUUGGAAUUCUAUAGAGUUCUCCACAUUAUUGAAAAGACGUUUAAAGGCCAAAAUAUAACUAUUUCAGUUUAUACGUUAGAAUAAGUUUACUGUGCUUGCUAUUUUUAUUGUAGCUUUGAUAUUGAUUAUAUAUUACUUGCUGUUAAAACAAUAACACUGUGAAAAAUAAUAUAAAGGGAGGACCAGAAUUGAAUAAUAAGGAAAACCAGCAUCAAUAAAACAUGAGGGUCAAGUUGUGGGAAAACUGGAAACUACUGGGGAUAGUGGGGAUAUUAACACUGAUAAUAGUGGGGACAAUUCUAGGAGUAGGAAAAAGUCAGAACAGGAAUGAAACCUCAACUGUAAAACUAACCAGAGUAAAAAGAUCCCUAGGGGAAGAAAACAGGUGUUCCAAGUAUUAUGGAGGGCUGUCCAUUGAAUAUGUAAAGGGAGAGACAACAUCUUACACAUUUGAUCUAUGUCAGGUAAUUGACUGUGGGGGACACAAUAGUUCGUGGCGAGGAUAUGACGUAUAUGUUUGUUUAGAUCAGACUAUGAAUGCAUGGUGUAACACAAUGGGUAAGGCAGAUAAUAGGUGGUGUAGAGGGUGGGAUCAAGUAGUGGGGUACACAGGGAAAUGGACGCCAAACCCAACAUGGUUAGGGAAUUUUAAAAACGAGUGGAGAAAACUGAAAAUACAAAGGGAUUAUAGUCCUACCCAGAACCCUAUUACUAUGUCAAUAGGGAGUGGACAGGAUACCCCCUAGAUGAGACCCAUUAUGCUGGAAAAAACAAUCCACCUAAGUUUCUCCAUAUACUAUUAGGAGUUGAGAUAUCAGGAACUGACCCCCUGGGAAUCAUAGAAGUUGAGUUUUUAGACAGGGUCAAUGUAAUAGAUAGAAACAAGACAACGACUAUAGGACCCCAAUCAGAGAUCAUAGUAGAGAAAUUAGAGGUCGAAGGGUUGUGAUAGAAAUGGACUACACCAAAUUAACUCCUGAAGAUAUUUUAGAGAAAGCCACGGGAUACGGGGAAAAAUAAUUUGUGGUUAGAAUGGAUGAUUUACACAGCUAAACAAACAGGAAUGACAGAUUGUGUUGCAUGUGGAAAAGCUAGACCAACCCUUAGAAUAGAACCAGCCCCAUUGAUAAUAAAUGACCCAGUAUAGACCAAAUGUGUCACUCUAGCGGAAAUAUUUCCACUAAUAAAUAACCAGACAAAAACAGGCCCAUUUUCUGCAGACCCAGGAAAUUUCACCUGUUUUAAUUUUACACCCACCAGAACAGUGCUAGUCAGGGUAGGGCAUAUUAACCGUUUGUGGUGCAAACAGAUUAUCAACAAUGCAGGGGAUAUAAUAGGACCUUGGGCGCGGGGAGGACUAUAUUUUUAUUGUGGAGGGAAAAGAUUGUAAAAGAUUAUUUGUAAGAAUAAAAGGGAAAACUACGGAAGGUAUAUGUGCAAUGGUUAGGUUGGCAGCACCAGUAACACUGAUUGGCAAGAGACAAGAGGGAAGGGGUGAAAGUAUAGCUGGGAGAAGAAAAAGGGACGCAACGUUUGACUUAACCACAAAUUCCCCAACCUAUAUAGAUUCAAUAGGAGUCCGAAGAGGAGUCCCUGAUGAAUACAAAACUAGUAGACCAAAUUGCUGCCGGGUUCGAGAAUAUCCCAAUAAUUUCAGCCCUAUUCCCAGUCACCCCAAGUAAAAUGUGGAUAGAAUAAAUUAUGUGCACUAUAAUGUGAUGAGAUUGGCAAAUCUGACACAAGAUGCCGUAGAAGGAUUAUCAGAACAAUUGGCUCCAACCUCAUUAAUGGCAAUACAAAAUAGAAUAGCACUAGACAUGCUAUUGGCGGAAAAGGGGUGCCAUGUUCCAAGAUUUUGCUGCACUUUUAUUACCAAUAAUACCGCACAGACGGAUCAGUAAUGAGGGCUUUAGAAUGGUUAAAAACCCUUUCCAAAACAAUGGCAGAACACUCUUUUUGAUGAUUGGCUGACCGGUGUGUUUGGAAAAUAUAAAACCAUGUUUACAUCAAUUUUGAUCUCUAUAGCUACAUUUGUGGCCAUAAUAGUGACCUGUGGAUGCUGUAGCAUGCCGUGUAUCAGAACAUUGUGUAACAGGGUGAUAAUAGCAGCAAUUGAAAAGAAAGAUGGAGCUCCACCCCCUUACACAAUGCCUCUGCUGAUAUCUCCAGGAAAUAAUGAUGAGGAGGAAGAGGAAUAUGACUUAUAAAUAUUGUUUUUUCCCAAUAACUGUGCUUCUUUGCAGAUGCUGAUACAUCACAAGCUAUGUGUUUUUUAGAUAUUGAUGUUUGAGAAAUUUGCUGUUUGAAAAUGUGUUAAGAUUUAAAUUUUGAUUAUUGAAAUGUUUGUAGUUUAGAUAAUUUCAGUGUGAUUGACUCAGCUGACAUGUUGUGGUUCCCCAAACAUAAAAUAGGGAACCGACUGGGUGCCUUUCCCCACAGGGGUUUUCGGCCCAGUCCAGCCUGAGCACACUGGUUUGUAGGGAAUGUUUUUUUAUUUUUUAUUAUUAUUACGUUUUAAGUACUUGUCUUUCUAGUAGUCUGAUAUGAUGUGUCAGGUGAACAUGUGGUGGCUGCCCAUAAGCUAACUAGGGGGCCGCUUGGGUGUCUUUCCUCACAGAGGUUUUCGACCCAAGCUCAUCUGGACAUAUUGGACCAAGACUUCUGAGAUUUUUUAAGUGUUAUUAAAGUGGUGUGACCUCUUUUCAGAGGCCAAGAGAGGGAUUGAAGGAUAGCAUUUUUUUUUUAUUGUUAGAUUUUGCUAAACAUUUACUAAUAAAUGCAGCCACGAAGGCUUUUGCUUUAAAGGGAUAACUGCUAUAUUAUGUGUACAAGUUUAGGGAAGUAUUGCAGGUUGCAGAGAACAGCCCAUCCUGUUAUCGAGUGUGGGUGCAUAGAAAAUGAUGAAAGGGCUGAGAAUGACAGGACAUAUGAGCUCUGUGUACGUGCUCUGAAACAUCUGCCUUAAAAGGUGAACUGUUAAGAGAAGAUACACAGAUACCAGGAAGAGGAAUAUCUGGUUUCUGAAUGGUUAACCUGUUAAGACAAUUCCAUAUAAGUCUAUAGUAGUUAGGGUUAGGGAGUGUGUGAGAGACAGUAUAAAAGCCUGAAUACAGGAAGCUCAUUGGCCAUUAUAUCCCUUCUGCGCAGAACAUGUAUUCUCUAACUUCUUGCAUUCAAAAUAAAACUUCUUAAUUUUCAA